UAAGACAGAACCUUUAUUUACUAGGUUCAACUUCGUGAACCACCGUUCAUCAUUACACACGUGAUGUGUAGAACAAGUAUCAAGCCACCAUGAAUCUGUAUCAACCCCCUGUACAAAAGAAACUUCUUGAGUUAGUAGCAUAACAUUAAAUACUGAACUUACAAGAUCAAUAGUAAUUUGACCUUUGGUUGCAGAUUGAUCAUGAGAUCCACUGCCACCACCAGCAUCUUUUCCACUACCACUUGCACCUUUGUUUCCAAGUUUCACCCGACAGUCACGUUUCAUAUGCCCUUUCAGAUGGCAUCUCCAACACACAAGUUCCUUGGAAUCCUUGUGUUUUUU
rnacentral:lncRNA from 1 species